rnacentral:rRNA from 1 species
AACUAACGCUGGCGGCGUGCCUAACACAUGCAAGUCGAACGAGAAAGUUGGCUUCGGCCGAUGAGUAAAGUGACGCACGGGUGAGUAACACGUGGAUAAUCUACCCGAUGAUCCGGGAUAACAUUUCGAAAGGGGUGCUAAUACCGGAUAAGCUCACGAACUCCUCGGAGUUUGCGGGAAAAGGUGGGGACCUUCGGGCCUACCGUUAUCGGAUGAGUCCGCGGCCCAUUAGCUAGUUGGUGGGGUAAUGGUCUACCAAGGCGACGGUGGGUAGCUGGUCUGAGAGGAUGAUCAGCCACACUGGGAACUGAGACACGGUCCAGACUCCUACGGGAGGCAGCAUG